GGUGGCUCAGUGGUAGAGUGCUUGCCUUGCAUGCAUGAGGUCUGGGUUCAAUUCCUCAGCACCA
rnacentral:tRNA from 1 species